GGCGCAGGCCACCAACCCAAUGCAGCCCAGGGCGGCGGCAACAGCCAGAGCAGCGGCGAACAGGAGCAAGGAACGCGCCUCCGAUAGAGACCUGUGUUGAUUGACUGCCCGAGAAUCCUCCCCUCCCCACCGCUGGCCCAGCCCCGCAGAGGCGCUGCUAAGCAGAGGCGACUUGGGUUGCCGGACGUGUGCCUCCAGGUCGCGGUUCCGAGCCUGGGCCUCACGGAGUUGACUGUGGAGAGGUGUGGACCGUAAGCCCUUGAGGCUCUGGCGAGAGAGGCUGCUAAAGUUGGUGUCUUCCCCUGGGCCCCGACCCCGACC